rnacentral:rRNA from 1 species
GACGAACGCUGGCGGCGUGCCUAAUACAUGCAAGUAGAACGCACAGUUUAUACCGUAGCUUGCUACACCAUAGACUGUGAGUUGCGAACGGGUGAGUAACGCGUAGGUAACCUGCCUGGUAGCGGGGGAUAACUAUUGGAAACGAUAGCUAAUACCGCAUAAUAUUGAUUAUUGCAUGAUAAUUGAUUGAAAGAUGCUAUUGCAUCACUACCAGAUGGACCUGCGUUGUAUUAGCUAGUAGGUGAGGUAACGGCUCACCUAGGCGACGAUACAUAGCCGACCUGAGAGGGUGAUCGGCCACACUGGGACUGAGACACGGCCCAGACUCCUACGGGAGGCAGCAGUAGGGAAUCUUAGGCAAUGGACGAAAGUCUGACCGAGCAACGCCGCGUGAGUGAAGAAGGUUUUCGGAUCGUAAAGCUCUGUUGUAAGAGAAGAACGGGUGUGAGAGUGGAAAGUUCACACUGUGACGGUAGCUUACCAGAAAGGGACGGCUAACUACGUG